rnacentral:lncRNA from 1 species
UGAAGUCCAUCUGCGCCGAUACUAAUAUGGUGGUCAACGAGAUACGAGAUCGGCUUCCUGCUAACGCCAAACCUUUAGUCUGGCCUAAUCGUCGCCCAGCGUCAACCUUCGAAGAACUGGACGGGUUGAUGUCAACUGAGGAGUUGAUUGAGAGGCUGGCCGGGGCUGAGCGCCCGUCGCUUCAGGCUACUGUAAGGGGAAUGAUGAAGCUGCUUCUCACCAAGACUUGGCACACCGUUUCUUCACAGGGAUGGAUUCCCGUCGUCAAAACACCAAAGAAAGCUUCAAGGAUCAUGAAGCGUACGAGAGAAUAAUGGCCGGCCUCAAGCAAACAAGAUUCGUCAGUGCGAAAAGACCAGAGGUAAAUAAAGCCAUUAUGAAUGCCCUGAAGAAUGCGUCCGACUGGGAGGGAGGCAGAGACCACCGCGUCCGACGAUGACCAGCUA